AAUCAACGCUGGCGGCAUGCUUUACACAUGCAAGUCGAACGGCAGCACGGGGGCAACCCUGGUGACGAGUGGCGAACGGGUGAGUAACACAUCGGAACGUGCCCAGUUGUGGGGGAGUAACCUAUCGAAAGGUAGGCUAAUACCGCAUGAGCUCGGCGAGAGGAAAGCGGGGGACCCAGCGAUGGGCCUCGCGCGACUGGAGCGGCCGAUGUCCGAUUAGCUAGUUGGGGGGUAAAGGCUUACCAAGGCGACGAUCGGUAGCUGGUCUGAGAGGAUGAUCAGCCACACUGGGACUGAGACACGGCCCAGACUCCUACGGGAGGCAGCAGUGGGGAAUUUUGGACAAUGGGGGCAACCCUGAUCCAGCCAUGCCGCGUGAGUGAAGAAGG
rnacentral:rRNA from 1 species